rnacentral:rRNA from 1 species
GAUAAGCCGAUGUCGGAUUAGCUAGUUGGUAGGGUAAAGGCCUACCAAGGCGACGAUCCGUAGCUGGUCUGAGAGGAUGAUCAGCCACACUGGGACUGAGACACGGCCCAGACUCCUACGGGAGGCAGCAGUGGGGAAUAUUGGACAAUGGGGGCAACCCUGAUCCAGCAAUGCCGCGUGUGUGAAGAAGGCCUUCGGGUUGUAAAGCACUUUUAUCCGGAACGAAACGCGCUUGGUGAAUAGCCGGGCGAACUGACGGUACCGGAGGAAUAAGCACCGGCUAACUUCGUGCCAGCAGCCGCGGUAAUACGAAGGGUGCAAGCGUUACUCGGAAUUACUGGGCGUAAAGGGUGCGUAGGUGGUUUUUUAAGUCCGUUGUGAAAUCCCUGGGCUCAACCUGGGAAUGGCAGUGGGUACUGGAAAGCUAGAGUGCGGUAGAGGGUAGUGUAAUUCCCGGUGUAGCAGUGAAAUGCGUAGAGAUCGCGAGG